UACGUAGGGGGCGAGCGUUGCCCGGAUUCACUGGGCGUAAAGCGCGUGUAGGCGGUCUGUUAAGUCGGAUGUGAAAUCUCCGGGCUCAACCCGGAAACUGCAUCCGAUACUGGCAGACUUGAGGAUGGUAGAGGUCGGUGGAAUACCAGGUGUACCGGUGAAAUGGGCAGAUAUCUGGUGGAACACCAGUGGCGAAGGCGGCCGACUGGGCCAAUCCUGACGCUGAGACGCGAAAGCCAGGGUAGCGAACCGG
rnacentral:rRNA from 1 species